rnacentral:tRNA from 1 species
GGGGCCGUAGGGUAGCCUGGUUAUCCUCCCAGCUUGGGGGUGCUGGAGACCCGAGUUCAAAUCUCGGCGGCCCCA